rnacentral:lncRNA from 1 species
AAAGAAUUAAAAACAAAAGAUUUUGAAAUGAAGACAAAGACCUAUUUCUUUAUUUUGCUCACCUUUUAUUGAAAGAGCUCCUCCUUAGCUCUUUUCUUUGCAUGGGCUUAAGGCAACUAUUGAUACCAGCACCCACCAUGGAGCAGACUUAUUGAGCUAACUUUCAUUAACUCAUUCAUUACAGAAGAUCGUUUGGCUGAUGUUUCUGUUCUCAAUGGCUUAUUUAUUUAAAUGAACACAAGUAGUUCUUAGAACUCAAAAAAAAACUGCUGAAAAGCCAACAGUUAACUUUUUCUUUCAUUAUUUUCAGGUCCUUCUGCCAUGUGCUCUAGUAAUUCCUAUUUUGUAUAUUGCAGGCUUUCAACUGUUUGGGUCAGGUAGGCGAGUAAGGUCUCAAAAUAUUCAGCAAUAGAUAUUUAUACUUCUAGUGAAUAUAAUUUUGGGUGGGCUUUUUUUCCUAUCAUCUCAGAACUAAGAGACAAGGCCCAAAGCUGACACAAACCAAAAACAUCAAAUUUGCUAAAGCAUCAGUGAUAACUAAGUCCAGCAGAAACAACCCUAUCUUACUGUUAUAGGUUGUGUAUGUUCCCUCAAAGUCCAAAUGUGGAAGUCUUGAGUCCUAGAACCUCAGAUGUAACUGUGUUUGGAGACAUUCUUUAAAGAGGUAAUUAAAUUAAAAUGCAUUAUUAGGGUGAGCCCUAAUCCAAUAUGACUGGUAUCCUCACAAGAAGAGGAAAUCUGGACUAAGUAGUCAGCAAAGCAAAUAAUUGCUGGUCUGUAAAAUGGGCAAAAUAAAAUUCACCUCAUAGGGUUGUGGUCAGGAUUAAUGAGACAGUGUAUACAAAUUUCUUAGCACUGUAAAUUCUGGAAUACAGUCAGUACUUAAAGAGUAGUAAUUAUUUUCAGUGUUCGGGGCUGUGCACCACUUCUAGGUAGUCUUAGUGCCGAUAAUUCUAAAUGCUAUGAUUUAACACAUACAUUCUAAGGAUAAAAUUAAUCUUAAUUUAUUUUAAUUUUUAAAAUAAUCAUGUGUACUACACAACAGUUUUAGAGGGGAAAGAGGGUUAUUAAAAAGGCUUAGAGAUGUAAGAUAUAUGCCUUGAUUACAGAGCCAGGAGUGGUGCAGCCAGACUUUGAGCCCCCAUGUCUCAAGGCCCCCAGCACAUGUUCCUACAUGUAGUGCCGUCCGAGCAUACAUCAGGGCUUUCUUGCAUCAUGAAAAGUGGGCAAUAGCACAAUUAAAAAAUGCCCCCAGCUCAUCUAGAGUCCCAUGUCUCUGCGUUUUUCAAUAUUUCUUCUCCCGCACAUUGUACUCAGAAGACACUUUCUCCUUUGAUGUCUCAGGAAGGCCCCGUGAAGAGCAGCUGACGGGAGCUGGCAGGCCCUCCCAGGAUGUCCUGAGCUCUUCACCAGAGGAGUGGUGGGCGUGAACAUCUUCCCUGCAUUGUUGUCCUUUUCAUCCAAGCUUUGUCUGCCGAGAAAGAGAGCAGCAUCUGUUCUCCGGGUGAGCAGAUGAUUAUACAAGACCUCAUGGUUUUACAUCAAAGAAGAGUGAAUUUUAAAACCUUUUGUGUGCGUGUGUGUGUGAUGGUGUUCAAGGUCCUGCAUUUUCAAAAAGCAAAGAGAGGGUCAUUUCCAAAUGUAAACACGUUGAAAGAGCAGUAGAAACAAUGGGAAUUUUUAAUAAGUGAAGGAAAAAAAAUAAAUGAUUCUCAUUGCCUUACAAAACACUACACCUGGGGUUUGGUUUUCUGUAUUAAAAUCCGGGGAGAAUAUUUCAUGAGCUAUGUGGGUUCCUCGUCCACACACACUAGUGAAAAUGGAGAUUUUUAUGGUUGGGAAAGCAAAGCAACUAUUUCUUUUACCUCCUAUAUGUAGUCACCUCUUGGCUUGGCAAUGGAUUGUUACUGCAUUCUAAAGAAAUGAGGGCCUAAAAUCUCUAAAUGGAAACUGAAUGAUUCAGUCCAUAAUGUGAGUUAGUAAACAUCCAACUUGUUAGAAACAUAACUACAGCAUCCUCAAUAGGUCCUCAAACACAGGGGGGUAACAGUCACUACAGGCAUUUAUUCUAUCUGCAAACUGUGUUCCACCAUCACUGCUGUAUCUUACACUGGCUGAGAAUUUUCUUCACAUACCUUUAUCAUCGGUAAGACUAGGCAGCACAGGAAGGCCAGAAAUGUAAAGAAAGGUUAUUGAUUCAGUUGUGUCAAAUUAGAAUUAGAGAAAAUAAGAUAUGUCACACAUUAAUACAUCCAAUGCUAGAAAGAAAUCUCUCAUUUUACCAAAGAUCACUAGGAAGGAUUAAAUUUGUAUAUGUUGGAUUGCCAUGAGACUUCAGACUAGUAUUUAAAGAAACCUGUAGUGGAACUGAGAAAAAUGACAGGCAUGCCCCUCAGGAAACACCAUGAAUCUGUGCCUUCUGUGAACUGAGCACAAAGGGCAGUGAGAGGAGAAGUGGAGAAGGAAGAGGCCGGACACAGACCCGGGAUUGAGAAGCGCUGGAAACCACUGCCCUUCUAGACCCGACCGAACAACGCCAGAGCUUGAUGCAGGGCUCUCUUCUAUUAAUCAGUCCUUUGUCCCUGGGGCCUGAGUGUCAGCUGGGAAGGAAGAGAUCACAAGGUUUCCAUUUGGUUUUAUUAAAUGUUCUCAUCCUGUGGAGAUGACCAGACUCUUGGUGUCCUGCCUGCAAUUGUUUUGGCUUUCUGAAUAGUCU